AACGAAUGCUGGCGGCAUGCCUAACACAUGCAAGUCGAACGAGACCUUCGGGUCUAGUGGCGCACGGGUGCGUAACGCGUGGGAACCUGCCCUUAGGUUCGGAAUAACUCCCCGAAAGGGGUGCUAAUACCGGAUAAUGUCUUCGGACCAAAGAUUUAUCGCCUUUGGAUGGGCCCGCGUUGGAUUAGCUAGUUGGUAGGGUAAAAGCCUACCAAGGCGACGAUCCAUAGCUGGUCUGAGAGGAUGAUCAGCCACACUGGGACUGAGACACGGCCCAGGCUCCUACGGGAGGCAGCAGUGGGGAAUAUUGGACAAUGGGCGAAAGCCUGAUCCAGCAAUGCCGCGUGAGUGAUGAAGGCCUUAGGGUUGUAAAGCUCUUUUACCCGGGAUGAUAAUGACAGUACCGGGAGAAUAAGCUCCGGCUAACUCCGUG
rnacentral:rRNA from 1 species